CUCUCCUUUGCUCCAAGGGCGGGAUAAUAUAAGCCAUAAUAUAAGCCGGGAUACUUUGCUCCAAGGACGGUCUAAUAAGAAAGACGAAUAAGAUAUUCAGAUGUUUCUUAUCAAGUCAUAAAUAGGUUUGAAGGGUUGUGUUGGGCAUAGAGAAAAUGGUCAGAGGAGAGAGAGCUCGGUUCAACAAGUGGAGGUCGAGGCCGAAAGGAAGCAUAUUCCUACACGCCGCUAAACUCACCUUGCUUCGCUCGUGUCUCCUUAGCACUCACUGUUAAUCGAGUCUUCCAUGCCCAACGACCUCGUGGAGUUCACUCCUUCCCUCCUCAUCGAUGACGCUGCCUUCCCUCUCUAUCCCUAUAUUCCAGUACAACGGCGGAAU